GACGAACGCUGGCGGCGUGCUUAACACAUGCAAGUCGAACGGAAAGGCCCUGCUUUUGUGGGGUGCUCGAGUGGCGAACGGGUGAGUAACACGUGAGUAACCUGCCCUUGACUUUGGGAUAACUUCAGGAAACUGGGGCUAAUACCGGAUAGUAGCUCCUGCUGCAUGGUGGGGGUUGGAAAGUUUCGGCGGUUGGGGAUGGACUCGCGGCUUAUCAGCUUGUUGGUGGGGUAGUGGCUUACCAAGGCUUUGACGGGUAGCCGGCCUGAGAGGGUGGCCGGCCACAUUGGGACUGAGAUACGGCCCAGACUACUACGGGAGGCAGCAGUGGGGAAUAUUGCAAAAUGGGCGGAAGCCUGAUGCAGCAACGCCGCGUGCGGGAUGACGGCCUUCGGGUUGUAAACCGCUUUCGCCUGUGACGAAGCGUGAGUGACGGUAAUGGGUAAAGAAGCACCGGCUAACUACGUG
rnacentral:rRNA from 1 species